rnacentral:rRNA from 1 species
CCUACGGGAGGCAGCAGUGGGGAAUAUUGGGCAAUGGGCGCAAGCCUGACCCAGCAACGCCGCGUGAAGGAAGAAGGCUUUCGGGUUGUAAACUUCUUUUCGCAGGGACGAAGAAAGUGACGGUACCGGAGGAAUAAGCAACGGCUCACUACGGGCCAGCAGCCGCGGUAAUACGUAGGUGGCAAGCGUUAGCCGGAUUGAUUGGGUGUAAAGGGCGUGUAGGCGGGAGAGCAAGUCAGAUGUUAAAACUCAGGCCUCAACCCUGAGCCUGCAUUUGAAACUGUGUUUCUUGAGUGCUGGAGAGGCAAUCGGAAUUCCGUGUGUAGCGGUGAAAUGCGUAGUUAUACGGAGGAACACCAGUGGCGAAGGCGGCUUGCUGGACCGUAACUGACGCUGCGGCGCGAAAGCGUGGGUAGCAAACAGGAUUAGAUACCCUAGUAGUC